rnacentral:rRNA from 1 species
UCCCAUAACGAGCGCAACCCUACCCUUUAGUUGCCAUCAGGUAAUGCUGGGGACUCUAAAGGAACUGCCUACGCAAGUAGUGAGGAAGGCGGGGAGUGACGUCAAAUCAGCACGGCCCUUACGUCCAGGGCUACACACGUGCUACAAUGGCCGAUACAGAGGGCAGCUACCUGGUGACAGGAUGCAAAUCUCCAAAGUCGGUCUCAGUUCGGAUCGGAGUCUGCAACCCGACUCCGUGAAGUUGGAUUCGCUAGUAAUCGCGCAUCAGCCAUGGCGCGGUGAAUACGUUCCCGGGCCUU